rnacentral:rRNA from 1 species
UACGUAGGAUGCAAGCGUUGUCCGGAAUUAUUGGGCGUAAAGAGCGCGCAGGCGGUAACUCAAGUCAGAUGUGAAAUAUCCGGGCUUAACCCGGAGGGGUCAUUUGAAACUGAGUAACUAGAGUACAGCAGAGGAUAGCGGAAUUCCCGGUGUAGUGGUGAAAUGCGUAGAUAUCGGGAGGAACACCAGUGGCGAAGGCGGCUAUCUGGGCUGAAACUGACGCUGAGGCGCGAAGGCUAGGGGAGCAAACGGG